GUCACCACUCAAGUAGAACAAGUACUUAAGACUCAAAAUGAUUUGCUCAAUGAAUUAAAUAGUAAGAAUAAUGAUUAUCCUGUUAGAGUGGCUACUAGAACCGGUAAAAUGACUCAGGAACCUUUGUAUCCUAAAGGCCACCCUAAGAGAAUUGAGCAAGAUUCUCAGAGAAAUAAUUUAGAUGCACCUAGUCCUUCUAAAAAGAAGAAAAAGAAAAAUGAUAGGACUUUGCAUGCUUCUAGUGAACGUAUUGCUGAAUUACCUGAGAAUCCAAAUGAUAUUUCUAUUUCUGAUGCUGAAACACAAUCUGGUAACGAACAUGAACCUAGUGAUAAUGUUAAU
rnacentral:rRNA from 1 species